rnacentral:rRNA from 1 species
UAGGGAAUCUUCCGCAAUGGGCGAAAGCCUGACGGAGCAACGCCGCGUGAGUGAUGAAGGUCUUCGGAUCGUAAAACUCUGUUAUUAGGGAAGAACAAAUGUGUAAGUAACUAUGCACGUCUUGACGGUACCUAAUCAGAAAGCCACGGCUAACUACGUGCCAGCAGCCGCGGUAAUACGUAGGUGGCAAGCGUUAUCCGGAAUUAUUGGGCGUAAAGCGCGCGUAUGCGGUUUUUUAAGUCUGAUGUGAAAGCCCACGGCUCAACCGUGGAGGGUCAUUGGAAACUGGAAAACUUGAGUGCAGAAGAGGAAAGUGGAAUUCCAUGUGUAGCGGUGAAAUGCGCAGAGAUAUGGAGGAACACCAGUGGCGAAGGCGACUUUCUGGUCUGUAACUGACGCUGAUGUGCGAAAGCGUGGGGAUCAAACAGG